CAAAGGCUUGGUCCUAACUUUG
rnacentral:rRNA from 2 species